GGAAGCUCUGUGGCUCAGUGGGAGAGCAUCUGUUUGGCGUGCAAAAGGUCCCAGGUUCAGUUCUCAGCAUCUCCA
rnacentral:tRNA from 1 species